AACGGCCGCGGUAUCCUAACCGUGCAAAGGUAGCAUAAUCACUUGCCUAUUAAUUGUAGGCUAGAAUGAAUGGGUUAACGAAAUAAAGACUGUCUCAAUUAAUCACCUAAAAAUUACUAUCUAACUGAAGAAGAGUAGAUAAUCUCGAAGGACAAGAAGACCCUAUAGAGCUUAAUUUUAAUUAUAGAGCUAAACUAUAAAAAUAUUCGGUUGGGGCGACCCAGGGCUAAUCAAUCACCCACUACAUAAAAGAUAAAUUAAUCAAAUAAUUGACCCCUAAAAGAUCAUAAGAACAAGCUACCUUAGGGAUAACAGGCUAAUCCCACUCAAGAGUCCUUAUCAACAGUGGGGUUUGGCACCUCGAUGUUGGCUUAGG
rnacentral:rRNA from 1 species